rnacentral:snRNA from 1 species
AUACUUACUUGGCAGGGGAGAUACCACAAUCACGAAGGUGGUUUUCUCAGGGUGAGGCUUAGCCAUUGCACUCCGGAUGUGCUGACCCCUGCGAUUUCCCGAAUGCGGGAAAGUCGACUGCAUAAUUUGUGGUAGUGGGGGAUUGUUCGCUCUCUCUCCUU